rnacentral:rRNA from 1 species
CGGCCACCUAUCUGCCUCCGGUAUGUACUAUCCGGUUGGGCCUUACCUCCUGGUGAGCCCGCAUGUCGUUUACUCGGUGUGCGGGGGAACCAGGAAUUUUACUUUGAAAAAAUUAGAGUGUUCAAAGCAGGCCUAUGCCCGAAUACAUUAGCAUGGAAUAAUAGAAUAGGACGUGCGGUUCUAUUUUGUUGGUUUCUAGGAUCGCCGUAAUGAUUAAUAGGGAUAGUUGGGA